rnacentral:lncRNA from 1 species
GAGUAAAAGGAGCAGGUUUCUGGGCACAAUAGCAUAGAUUCAAGGCAUAGUGUACAUAGUGUAAGGUAGGAUGUGAGUACAUUGGAGGUAAACCUAGGCAUUGAGUAAUGAUGAGAGAGAUAUAGUCUCUAGAAACGUUUAAACCAUGUGAUGUCAUCGCAUAUGUAGGAGGUGGAACAACAUGGUUGGUUAAGGCAUAUUGAGCAGGGCUAGAGGCUCUACAGUGAAAUAAGACAGUAAUCCCUAACCAGGACAGUAAUGGAUGAGGCAUACUGAUAUUAGAGAGAGGCAUGCGUAGCCAAGUGAACAUAUGGGUCCAGUGAGUGGUUGGGCUGACUGGGGACACGGCGAUUCAGACAGUUAGCAGGCCGAGCAAUUCUUCUAUUCAGGCUAGAUGAUUAAGGCAUGCUGUUGUCUGUUACUAGUUAGGGAUAAAAUGGGAAGGCCUGUAUGAGUCUAUUGGUCUUUUCAAUGAAGUAAAGAGCAGUGACAGAGCAAGGCAUUAUUAACCUGGUGGUGUAAUGGCACCCUAAUGUUUCCCUGUCAGCCUCCCCAUAGAGGACUAUCAUGACGACUAUUCUGAGCAGGGCUGCUAGUGUUCAUUCAGAGGAGGUAGUGUUGAUUCAAACCUGGUAGUGUUGAUUCAGAGCUGGUAGUGUGUUAAUUCAGAGGAGGUAGUGUAUUGAUUCAGAGGAGGUAGUGUGUUGAUUCAGAGGAGGUAGUGUGCUGAUUCAGAGGAGGUGGUGUGCUGAUUCAGAGGAGGUAGUGUUGAUUCAGAGGAGGUGGUGUGCUGAUUCAGAGGAGGUGGUGUGCUGAUUCAGAGGAGGUGGUGUGCUGAUUCAGAGGAGGUGGUGUGCUGAUUCAGAGGAGGUGGUGUGCUGAUUCAGAGGAGGUGGUGUGCUGAUUCAGAGGAGGUGGUGUGUUGAUUCAGAGGAGGUGGUGUGUUGAUUCAGAGGAGGUGGUGUGCUGAUUCAGAGGAGGUGGUGUG